CGCGGAAAUACUCGCCGCGCGGGAAUGCGACAGAAAAGUGGCAAAAGAUUAUGGAAAAUGUGGUGACCUUCUGAUUAAUUUAAUGUGAAAACAGAAGGAUACACAAUCAUAAUGGCUGCGUGGUACCGUCGAACGUGUGUAUAUAUCUUAUUAAAUAUAUCCUCGCGGUAAUAUACGGAACAUAUAGCUUGGCGCGAGUAUCGAAGAUAUAUCAAGAGUCGCGGUUCGAGCGGAGGAGUAUUCGGCCGCCGAAGAUCAUCGUCACCUCGAUGCGGGGAAAAUUCGAAACGGGAUGCGAUCCGUUCGCGGCGCACACAAGACAACAGGCCGACCGAAAGGACGCUGGAAGGUUAUUGAACUUCACGGACAGGAACGGUGAAAAGAGGGGCGCGGCGGAGAAAAAGCGACGACAAGGAGCGGAAGAAGAAGGAGCAGGAGGAGAAGAUCGAAACAGUUUGUCGAUGGGAUUGUGUAUGGCCGCGUGCAGACUCUGCGACAACGACGGGGUGUCGUGUGACGACGAGCUGUGGUGGGAGUGUGAAG